rnacentral:rRNA from 1 species
AGAGUUUGAUCCUGGCUCAGAACGAACGCUGGCGGCAGGCUUAACACAUGCAAGUUGAACGGGAUUUGUGUGGUGCUUGCACCAUAUAAUGAGAGUAGCGCACUGGUGAGUAACACGUGGGAACGUACCUUUUGGUGGGGGACAACAUCUGGAAACGGAUGCUAAUACCGCAUAAGACCUGAGGGUGAAAGAUUUAUCGCCGAAAGAACGGCCCGCGGAAGAUUAGGCAGUUGGUGGGGUAAAGGCCUACCAAACCUACGAUCUAUAGCUGGUCUGAGAGGACGAUCAGCCACACUGGAACUGAGACACGGUCCAGACUCCUACGGGAGGCAGCAGUGAGGAAUAUUGGGCAAUGGAGGCAACUCUGACCCAGCCAUGCCGCGUGAGUGAAGAAGGUUUUCGGAUUGUAAAGCUCUUUCGGAUGUGACGAUGAUGACGGUAGCAUCUAAAGAAGCCCCGGCUAACUUCGUGCCAGCAGCCGCGGUAAUACGAAGGGGGCGAGCGUUGUUCGGAAUUACUGGGCGUAAAGGGUGUGUAGGCGGUUAUGUAAGAUAGCGGUGAAAUCCCGGGGCUUAACCUCGGAAUAGCCGUUAUAACUAUGUAGCUAGAGUUAUGGAGAGGAUAGCGGAAUACCCAGUGUAGAGGUGAAAUUCGUAGAUAUUGGGUAGAACACCGGUGGCGAAGGCGGCUAUCUGGCCAUAUACUGACGCUGAGGCACGAAAGCAUGGGGAUCAAACAGGAUUAGAUACCCUGGUAGUCCAUGCUGUAAACGAUGAAUGCUGGUUGUCGGCUUUAGGGUCGGUGACGAAGUUAACGCGAUAAGCAUUCCGCCUGGGGAGUACGGUCGCAAGAUUAAAACUCAAAGGAAUUGACGGGGACCCGCACAAGCGGUGGAGCAUGUGGUUUAAUUCGAAGCAACGCGAAGAACCUUACCA